rnacentral:rRNA from 1 species
GGGAGGCGAGUAGAGUGGCGCACGGGUGAGUAACACGUAGGUAAUCUACCUUUGGAUGGGGAAUAACAACCGGAAACGGUUGCUAAUACCGCAUAAUGCAGCGGCACCUAAUGGUGACAGUUGUUAAAGCGGGGGAUCGAAAGACCUCGCGUCUGAAGAGGAGCCUGCGGCGGAUUAGCUAGUUGGUAAGGUAAUGGCUUACCAAGGCGAUGAUCCGUAACCGGCCUGAGAGGGCGGUCGGUCACACUGACACUGACAUACGGGUCAGACUCCUACGGGAGGCAGCAGUCGGGAAUUUUGGGCAAUGGGCGAAAGCCUGACCCAGCAACGCCGCGUGAAGGAUGAAAUCCCUCGGGAUGUAAACUUCGCAAGAACAGGAAGAAUAAGUAAGGGUUAAUAUCUCUUACGAUGACGGUACUGUUUGUAAGCUCCGGCUAACUCCGUGCCAGCAGCCGCGGUAAUACGGGGGGAGCAAGCGUUGUUCGGAUUUACUGGGCGUAAAGGGCGCGUAGGCGGCCACCGCAAGUCGGUUGUGAAAUCUCUGGGCUUAACCCAGAAAGGUCAACCGAUACUGCGGGGCUAGAGUGCAGAAGGGGCAACUGGAAUUCUCGGUGUAGCGGUGAAAUGCGUAGAUAUCGAGAGGAACACCUGCGGCGAAAGCGGGUUGCUGGGCUGACACUGACGCUGAAGCGCGAAAGCUAGGGGAGCGAACGG